GCAAGUCGAGGGCAGCACGGUUUUCGGACUGGUGGCGACCGGCGCACGGGUGCGUAACGGCGUAUGCAAUCUACCCAUUACUGAGGGAUAGCCGGGGAAACUCGGAUUAAUACCUCAUAGUAUUACUUGAUGGCAUCUGAAGGUAAUUAAAGAUUUAUUGGUAAUGGAUGAGCAUGCGUCUGAUUAGUUAGUUGGUAAGGUAACGGCUUACCAAGACGAUGAUCAGUAGGGGGUCUGAGAGGAUGAUCCCCCACACUGGAACUGAGACACGGUCCAGACUCCUUCGGGAGGCAGCAGUAGGGAAUAUUGGUCAAUGGGCGAGAGCCUGAACCAGCCAUGCCGCGUGCAGGAUGACGGCCUUCUGGGUUGUAAACUGCUUUUAUAUGGGAAGAAACGAUCCUGCGAGAUUACUGACGGGCC
rnacentral:rRNA from 1 species